GAUAUUUUGUGAAAACAGCAUGUUGCGAUCAUCAUUAUGACUUGUGUUUUACUAUAUCAAGUUUACCUUUUUUUAAAUUGCAUGGGACGUGCUGUAAUUUUAGCUUUAUAAAGACCAUAAAUAAUACGUCUUAGAAAAGGAAUUGUGUUUAAUUUAAUAUAUUCCCAAUAGCGAGGCUCUUCUUUCUAAGUUGGAUGGCGUUAAAUCUCCGUGUAUCAUGAACGUGAAAACAAGCGCAGUAUUUAAGGUUGGUAUACUACAAUGCAUUACAGUUAUCGUGUUAUUUUAUAGUCAAAUUUCCGCUUUGUUGUUUUUAUUCUUGUACUUUUUGUGUUUAUAAUGCCUCUAGUUUGACCCUAUUGUGUUUGUAUAUGUACUGUGUCACUGUGAUACAUAUGUACACGUUUUGAGUUAAUUAAACGAAUGCCUGUUUGUAUGGAUAGAUUUUUACAUAUAUGUGCAUACAGUAUAGUUAUAUUUUUCAAUUUUCAUCUGUAAAAUAAUAUUUGUGUAUUGUUCUAAUAUUACUGUAAAUAGUGACACACUUUUGCAUUAGAUUGCUAAUUUUAGAGAUUACAGUGUAUGUAUAAAAUAAUAAAAUUUCUUGUUAUGAUUUUGUAGAAAGAGAUCUACUUGAGUGGUUCAGUGGUUGGCUGGUCUUGAACCUGGUCAGGAUGGAUAUGGUAAUGAGGUGAUAGGGCAGAAAGUGGUGACCAGUUAAGUGAUCAGGAUGAAAGUGACGAGGACGAAAUCACCCAUGCUGUGCCAUUCAAGUGCAUUGGUGCUGUUCAUGAGAAACAUUACUAACAUCAUUUGUAACAGGCAUGCCUUGCUAUUCAUGGACAAGAUAAACCAGUGAAUGUAAGAAUAUGGCCAAAGCCAUUGAAUCCAAUGGACCCAAGUGCAAUAGCAAUUGAUGUAGACUAUGGAACUGGAUGGACAUAUGUGAUGUUGGCUAUAUUAUUUGCACCCACUAAUUGCUGCACGAGAUAUCUUAGAGGUCUAUGUUCAGCAUAUAAAGUAUAGGGUUGACUUUUUUAAAAUAGGAUUUUAUUCAAAAAUUUUCAUAAAGCGAUGUGGUGAGUGGGAG